rnacentral:rRNA from 1 species
ACGGGUGAGUAACACGUGGGUAACCUGCCCAAGAGACUGGGAUAACACCUGGAAACAGAUGCUAAUACCGGAUAACAACACUAGACGCAUGUCUAGAGUUUAAAAGAUGGUUCUGCUAUCACUCUUGGAUGGACCUGCGGUGCAUUAGCUAGUUGGUAAGGUAACGGCUUACCAAGGCAAUGAUGCAUAGCCGAGUUGAGAGACUGAUCGGCCACAUUGGGACUGAGACACGGCCCAAACUCCUACGGGAGGCAGCAGUAGGGAAUCUUCCACAAUGGACGCAAGUCUGAUGGAGCAACGCCGCGUGAGUGAAGAAGGGUUUCGGCUCGUAAAGCUCUGUUGGUAGUGAAGAAAGAUAGAGGUAGUAACUGGCCUUUAUUUGACGGUAAUUACCUAGAAAGUCACGGCUAACUACGUGCCAGCAGCCGCGGUAAUACGUAGGUGGCAAGCGUUGUCCGGAUUUAUUGGGCGUAAAGCGAGUGCAGGCGGUUCAAUAAGUCUGAUGUGAAAGCCUUCGGCUCAACCGGAGAAUUGCAUCAGAAACUGUUGAACUUGAGUGCAGAAGAGGAGAGUGGAACUCCAUGUGUAGCGGUGGAAUGCGUAGAUAUAUGGAAGAACACCAGUGGCGAAGGCGGCUCUCUGGUCUGCAACUGACGCUGAGGCUCGAAAGCAUGGGUAGCGAACAGGAUUAGAUACCCUGGUAGUCCAUGCCGUAAACGAUGAGUGCUAAGUGUUGGGAGGUUUCCGCCUCUCAGUGCUGCAGCUAACG